AUGACGUGUGGCUGUCGUAAAAACCCUAUUUGUAAACAACCAGCCCUUUAACUCGGGGCUGCGUCAUAAACACGGCGCGCUUGGAAGACCACGAUGUCAUCUUCCUUCUGUCAGGAGGAUCCCAGUGAAGCUACAGGAGUUUCAUUAACGUCAACAACUUGGACCAAACAGUUUGUUUUGCUUGAUGAAGAGCAGGAAGGGCAGCCUGGAGAGAAAGAGAAGCCGGGUUGAGCCCACUACCAUCAUCCACGUACCACGAGGAAGAUGAGGGAGAGAAAUGAUCCUACCAUUAAAGAGACUGUGAAAAGAACGUUGAGAACAUCACCACUCUACAGGAAGACACAGUCCAGUAAUGGGUGUCAGAAGUUCAGUAGUGAACGACAGGUACUGUGGAAAAAUAUGUGUCAUUGUUGUACAAUGUCCUUUGACUCUGUUUAAACAAGGUUAACACAAAAAGGUUUGAUUGUAAACUGAUAUCGGUAUGAAUUCAUGUUAUUCUCCUCGUCAAAAGAAACAAACAAUCCAAAUUACCUGCAGAAAGCCCUUGAUGGACGCUUCAGCUGCAUCGUCAGACUGGCAGUACUGAUGCAUUUACUGAGACGGGACGUGAGGGCCUACUCUGCGUGCUCAGAGUUCAAGCCCAGCAGGCUGCAGCGGGCCUGACAUAUUCUGGAACAGCAGCACAGUCUUUGGAUGACUCCUCUGAAGAUGAAAACAUGGCGAGUUCUUCUCAAGAGAAGCAGUACAGGUGUGCCUCAGCUCCACGGUCCCUCCUGCAGCCUCCGCUCCUGAUGCUAACCUCAUGUCUCCAUCACACCAAGCAGCAGACCUGGAUUGACAGACCUUUCUCCAGAGCUGCCCCCUCCCUCUGAAACCCCCCUCUCCAAAACACUAUUUGUGUAGUUUUUAAAGUAUUUUUUGCAUGAGAAUUGUUGAUCAUAACAUUUCCAGCAGAUGCCUUAAUAUAAUGUUUGUGCACAAUAAAUGACAUUGAUCAUAACAUAA